rnacentral:rRNA from 1 species
GACAGAGGGUGCAAACGUUGCUCGGAAUUAUUGGGCGUAAAGAGCUCGUAGGCGGUGUGUCGCGUCGGCCGUGAAAACCUGCAGCUUAACUGUGGGCUUGCGGUCGAUACGGGCAUCACUGGAGUUCGGCAGGGGAGACUGGAAUUCCUGGUGUAGCGGUGAAAUGCGCAGAUAUCAGGAGGAACACCGGUGGCGAAGGCGGGUCUCUGGGCCUUACCUGGACGCUGAGGAGCGAAAGCGUGGGGAGCGAACAGG